GGUAGCGCAAUCACUUGUCUUUUAAAUGAAGACCUGUAUGAAUGGCAUCACGAGGGCUUAGCUGUCUCCUCUUUCAAGUCAAUGAAAUUGAUCUGCCCGUGCAGAAGCGGACAUAAGANCAUAAGACGAGAAGACCCUAUGGAGCUUUAGACACCCGGCAGACCCUGUUAAGUAGCUGAACUAUCAGAUUAAAACAAAGCGGCCCCUGGCCUACAUGUCUUCGGUUGGGGCGACCACGGGGGAAAACAAAGCCCCCACGAGGAUUAAGGAAAACCUCCUUAUAACCACGAGCGACAGCUCUAAGUCUCAGAACUUCUGACCAAAAAGAUCCGACACCAGUCGAUCAACGGACCAAGUUACCCUAGGGAUA
rnacentral:rRNA from 1 species